AUUGAACGCUGGCGGCAGGCCUAACACAUGCAAGUCGAACGGUAACAGGAAGAAGCUUGCUUCUUUGCUGACGAGUGGCGGACGGGUGAGUAAUGUCUGGGAAACUGCCUGAUGGAGGGGGAUAACUACUGGAAACGGUAGCUAAUACCGCAUAACGUCGCAAGACCAAAGAGGGGGACCUUCGGGCCUCUUGCCAUCGGAUGUGCCCAGAUGGGAUUAGCUAGUAGGUGGGGUAACGGCUCACCUAGGCGACGAUCCCUAGCUGGUCUGAGAGGAUGACCAGCCACACUGGAACUGAGACACGGUCCAGACUCCUACGGGAGGCAGCAGUGGGGAAUAUUGCACAAAGGGCGCAAGCCUGAUGCAGCCAUGCCGCGUGUAUGAAGAAGGCCUUCGGGUUGUAAAGUACUUUCAGCGGGGAGGAAGGGAGUAAAGUUAAUACCUUUACUCAUUGACGUUACCUGCAGAAGAAGCACCGGCUAACUCCGUG
rnacentral:rRNA from 1 species